rnacentral:rRNA from 1 species
CCUACGGGAGGCAGCAGUGGGGAAUAUUGCGCAAUGGGCGAAAGCCUGACGCAGCGACGCCGCGUGAGGGAUGAAGGUCUUCGGAUCGUAAACCUCUGUCAGCAGGGAAGAACGGUCACUGUGCUAAUCAGCAGUGAAUUGACGGUACCUGCAACGGAAGCACCGGCUAACUCCGUGCCAGCAGCCGCGGUAAUACGGAGGGUGCGAGCGGUAAUCGGAAUUACUGGGCGUAAAGCGCUCGUAGGCGGUAUGUCAAGUCAAGGGUGAAAUCCCCGGGCUCAACGUGGGAACUGCCUUUGAAACUGGCAAACUGGAGUGUGGGAGAGGAUAGUGGAAUUCCAGGUGUAGGAGUGAAAUGCGUAGAUAUCUGGAGGAACAUCAGUGGCGAAGGCGACUAUCUGGCACAUAACUGACGCUGAGGAGCGAAAGCGUGGGUAGCAAACAGGAUUAGAUACCCCUGUAGUC